rnacentral:rRNA from 1 species
GGUUUUCCAUAACUCUGAGGUGCGAAGUGGUUCUGACCUUUUGGUACAGAGAAGUCAUUGAUGCCCGGCUUCCAGGAAAAGCUGCUAGCCAUAACUUAUAGAGAACCGUACCGCAAACCGACACAGGUGGACAGGUAGAGAAUACUAAGGCGCUUGAGAGAACUCGGGUGAAGGAACUAGGCAAAAUGGUACCGUAACUUCGGGAGAAGGUACGCCCUUUCUGGUGAUGGGAUUUACUUUCAGAGCUGGAGAGGGCCGCAGAGACCAGGUGGCUGCGACUGUUUAUUAAAAACACAGCACUCUGCAAAUUCGUAAGAAGACGUAUAGGGUGUGACGCCUGCCCGGUGCCGGAAGGUUAAUUGAUGGGGUUAUCUUCGGAGAAGCUCUUGAUCGAAGCCCCGGUAAACGGCGGCCGUAACUAUAACGGUCCUAAGGUAGCGAAAUUCCUUGUCGGGUAAGUUCCGACCUGCACGAAUGGCGUAACGAUGGCCACACUGUCUCCACCCGAGACUCAGUGAAAUUGAAAUCGCUGUGAAGAUGCAGUGUACCCGCGGCUAGACGGAAAGACCCCGUGAACCUUUACUAUAGUUUUGCACUGGACUUUGAUGAUGACUGUGUAGGAUAGGUGGGAGGCUGUGAAGUGAGGACGCUAGUUCUCAUGGAGCCGCCCUUGAAAUACCACCCUGUUGUUAUUGAGGUUCUAACUUGGUCCAGUAAUCCUGGAUGAGGACAGUGUAUGAUGGGUAGUUUGACUGGGGCGGUCUCCUCCCAAAGAGUAACGGAGGAGCACAAAGGUACCCUCGGUACGGUCGGACAUCGUACCAAGAGUGUAAAGGCAAAAGGGUGCUUGACUGCGAGAGUGACGGCUCGAGCAGGAACGAAAGUUGGUCUUAGUGAUCCGGUGGUUCUGAAUGGAAGGGCCAUCGCUCAACGGAUAAAAGGUACUCCGGGGAUAACAGGCUGAUACCGCCCAAGAGUUCAUAUCGACGGCGGUGUUUGGCACCUCGAUGUCGGCUCAUCACAUCCUGGGGCUGAAGCAGGUCCCAAGGGUAUGGCUGUUCGCCAUUUAAAGUGGUACGCGAGCUGGGUUUAGAACGUCGUGAGACAGUUCGGUCCCUAUCUGCCGUGGGCGUAGGAAAAUUGAGAGGAGCUGCUCCUAGUACGAGAGGACCGGAGUGGACGAACCUCUGGUGCACCGGUUGUCACGCCAGUGGCAUGGCCGGGUAGCUAAGUUCGGACGGGAUAACCGCUGAAAGCAUCUAAGCGGGAAGCCUCCCUCAAGAUGAGUUUUCCCAUGAAGCCCGUUGAAGACUACGACGUUGAUAGGCAAGGUGUGGAAGCGCAGUAAUGCGUGAAGCUAACUUGUACUAAUUGGCUGAUUGUCUUGACCAUAUAAUCUGAG